AUCAAGUUUGUCACUUUCAAAAUUCAAAUUUAAAAAUCUAUUCGAAAAGUUUAGAUUAUUUUCAAAAAUUGAUAUAGUUGCAGAAACGUUUAUCUAAUCCAAAGCCUUAGCAAGCAACGCUAGUGGAUCAAUUUAACGCUUAGAUAUUUAUAGUCGAAAAUCUGAGUAUAUUAAAAAAAAUUAUUCAUGGAUGGUGGCAAAGGAGCUAGUGAUCAAUAGAUCAAAGAUUUAGUAAAAUCAAAAUUUUCUUCGAUAAAACGCAGUCUAACUCAAUUUAAGUACAAAGAAAAGGCUUACACAGUUGCUGUAUAAAUAUCUAACGGUAUUGGAUUAAAGCAGCAAUUAGAAGGAGCAUUAUUUCUCUUAAAAAUCUACUGCCGGCAAUAGCGAACUAAGAACUUUUAUACCACCUAGCCAGAGUUGGAUUAUAGAACACACUAAAUAGGAAGUUAUAUUCGGUUUAUGAUGGCUAGUCGAAGUUUAAUUCGUAUUUUAACGAUUUUCGGCUCAAAGAUAGACAAUUAUUAUAGAAAAAAGGUCUCAACUUAAGAUAAAGCACAUAUUCACCGAUAUAGGAGUACAAGAUUGACCGAUCUUAGUCAGACAAUAUCCGGGGCACUGCAAAUGUACAGUCAUAUUUUCAUAAUUUUUGGGUAAAAAAUGCUAUAUCUUGAAGGCACUAUUUGUGCAAAGUUUGGCUUCGAAAAAAGUAAAAUUGUUUUAUAUAGAAAUUAGAUGUGGUUGGUAUAUUACGUAGGAGUGGCAAUGGUCCGAUGCCAAACAUCUGCAAUAUUAACCGCCAAUUGAUAAUUAAUUAUAAAUUUUUACUGAAGUUAUGGCUUGCACGGACGGAGGGACAGGCAAUUACUCGGAAUCAACACGUCUCGUCACUCUGUAUAUUUGUAUAUAUAACGCUAAAUCUAUCUCGAUUAAUUUUCGGAGUUUCAAACAACCGCUAGGUGAAUUAUAUCAUGUAAUAACAUAUUCCGAAAAUAUUAUAAAUAUACAAAUUAAUUUAUUAUCAAAAUGGAAAA